GGGAUACAGAGACGGGAAUAACAGAGAGGUUUCCAUCUCCAAUCUAGCUCCACUUGUUCAAGAUCAGUCUUUCCUUUUGUUUUCAGUAGCAGGACUCAUAAAUCUUCUUUUGUUUCAUCUACUCCAUCAUCCUUUGCACCCUCAUUAGCGUUAUGAGAAGCAAGAAACUUCUAUCUGUAAGAUUAAAUAUAAUACGUUAUGAUCUGAUGCAGCAGCAUCUAUGACAUUGGCGCCAACAUAUAAGCUUAUAUUUUCAAAUAUUUUUCCUUUAGCUUAUAUGGUUUGGCUUUAGUUUUAUUUCCUUUUUUAGAUAAGUUUAUGUUAUCAUUUUUCUUAUGGGGUUUGUCUAUUCGAAAGGAAGCAGAGUUGAGGUUCUUAUGUUUUCCAUACUUUGAUAAUUUAAGACAAUAGCGCUUUCUCUUAUUUCUUUGUGAGAUUUGAUUCAAUUCAUCAAAGAAAAAGUUAUUUUAGAAAACUCUUUGAUUGAUUCAAGAAUAGAUUUCUGCGCCAUGAUCACUAACAACUCACGGAUAAUAGACAAAGCUUACAACAUUGGUCUGAAUGUGAUAGCGCUCUUGAUAUGUAUAUGCAUUUCAUCACGUGGAUAUAAGAAUGCUUAUCAUCAUUCAUCACCAUAAUUUCAAAUGUUGUAACGCAAAUAUACAUUCUAGAGAGAAGAUAUAAUCAGGACAUGAACCCAUUGCUCGGUGCAUGAAAAUUAUGAACAGAAAGUAUAACCAAGAGAAUGAAACUAGUUUGACCUGUCUAUAUCUCCUGAGUACUACUUGAAGAACAAUUAAAAAUAUAAACAAGAAAAAAAAAUUAUCACUUGUUUUCGAAGAUCAGUUAGAAAUCCUAAGAUUUGAAAAUCAUAAAUCGAUUCAUAAUUUUUUUUUUUUGACGUCUAACGUACUCAAGCUUGAGGUGGUCUGAGUAACCAGAUCAGAAUAGAACAACCAAUGAAAAGUAACUCCCUGUGAAAGGUCCUAGCAGUCUUAGCUAAAAAAUCAGACAUCUAGUUGCGCACUCGUGGCACAUGGGUGAUUUUGAAUUCCGAGAAACAAAUCUGAAGCGUCUCUAUCUUCUCCAACUCUGUCGCGAAGCUUGGCCACUCCUGGGGCUCCUUUAUCAUUGCAAUCAGUUCCUUGCAGUCAGUCCCAAAGCUCUGGCAUGGCGAGUGUUGAAGCAUAUUCUCCAUCGCCCAUCGCAGUGCUUCUACCUCCGAAUGCAAUGCUGAUUCACAUCGAGUAAAAUUCCGUGUUCCCAUAAGUUGUAUGUUCUCCCCGCUAUCCAUCCAAACCCAUCCACAUCCACUAAAGCGAUCUGAAGUUGUCCAGGACCCAUCUAGCAUGCAAAUAUUACCCAAGCUUAAGACUUGGAUGUCCUCAUUAUCGCUGGCCUGUACUACCGGUGGUAUCAUCUCAUUUGCAUUAAACCAUGCUUGACAUUCACUUUCUGCGUAUCAAACUAGUUCCAAAGGGUCUCUGUCUAUUCCCCUGAAUAGCUUAUCAUUACGAGCCUUCCAAAUAUACCAAAUUAUCCAGGGUCUAGUUCCAAAGGGUCUCUGUCGAUUCAUAAUUUAAAAUAAACAAUAGUACAUCAAAAAUUUGUUUUGGAAUCCAUUACCAAUUGCUUCAUUAAACUUUUAUUAGUUUUAGCCUUUAGGAGUUAGAUAUUCAUUUAAUAUGGUUCUCAAAUUAUAUUGUUUUCUUUUUUUUUUGACAUCGAGACAGACUUUCUGGUGAUGAAUUGAACAAAAAUGCUGUUACAAGGACAUAGACUAGGUUCAGAACAUCUGCAAUGGGAGUCCUUAAGAGAGAGUCCUUAAAAUAAUAAUUAAAUAAUCAGUAGACUUCACCAAAAACUAAAGAUUCAAUCAUUUAAAUCUCUAAAUAAGAAUUCUUUCUUAGUGAAUCUUUAUACUAUUUACGGGUCUCUACGACAUGUGGAAAACCGCGAUUGGUUGAUAUUUUUUUUUUAAAUCUGAAAAAGAAAAAAGAAUAAUACUUAAAAAGUCAAAAUACACUUUUUCUAAAGACUCUUUUUUGGGUAACACCAUUGCGGGUGCUCUCAUACAACUCGAAUUCUAUUGUCAAUGAUUAAUACAUUUUAACAAUUCUUUUUUAAAAAAAUACAUUCUAACAAUUUUGUAAAAAGUAGAAACCCUACUGACUAUAAAUUUUAAUAUUUUAAUUUUUUUAUUGUUAUCGGUUUGAUGGUUUAUAAAUUUUAUUCAAAUGUUUUGUUUUUAUUAGUUACGUUGAAAUCUACUGUUCUCGGGAUAAUAAUUCUUAAUUAUUUAUUUCAGUGAAUAUAAUUUUAUAAUAGUAUUCAUAUCUUUUUAGAAUUAGAAAAGAGAUAUGUAUAGUAUUAUGUUAAUUAUAACAUAAAUUUAAUAAAUUUUUUAAAUAUACAAAACUCUCUACAAAUUAACAAAACUCUACACAUAUAUAACAUAGCUCUAUGCAAAUUUAACAAUCUUUUAAAAAAAAACCCAAUCCUAUCCAAAUUCAAAUCACAAAGUUAACCUGUAUAGAGUUCGAAUCACAAAGACCAGCCAUAUCAUAACUUAAAUACAUUAUUUACUAGUCAAAUAUAUCAUACUUUAGAAGUUACCACUCGAGAGAAAGUAACUCGUUCUAACUAUCUACUACUAAGGUAAAAUAAAAUAUUCUUAAUUUCAUGAGAAAAACGUAUAUGUCUAGUGAGACAAAAAGUUCGUUCUUGGUUGAUGAGCCCCCCCCCCCCCCCCGCAACGAACGACAAGAGGAUCCAAAUCAACUCAGGCCUCAAAAGUCAUCUUCCUAUUCUUUUUCAUAUUUAUUUGUUUCAACUUUAUAUUUUUCUUCUUUAUCUAUAAAUGGAACAAGACAAAGUGAUUACUUUCUUACUUGCGUCUUUAAUUAUAAAGUUACAAAGUGGAUGCUCCUUGAUAGAUAACUAAAAUUUGAUCCCCGCCCCCACGCCAAUAUUUGAUUUAACUUAUGUUCAACGUAAACUCAUAAACCGCUGAUUUUAUAAAAAAAUUUCAUGUAUAUUUUUUAUGUUUUGUAAUUUACAUAUAGAUUAAAAUAUAUUAUUUUAUAAUAUAGAUGUUUGAUAAUAUUUUUUUUAUUUGUACAUAAUAUUAUAUUAAAGAAUUUAUAUCUUGAUGCAAUUUGAUGUACUUAUACUAUUUAUAUAUUAACCUGUUUUUUUUUUUGUUAAUUUAUUAUAAAAUGAAACAACAUACUAAAUUGUUUUUUCAUCACCCAUUAUUAAUAUUAUAUGAAUAUUAACUAAAUUGACCAUACUAAAAAGAUUAUCUCCUUUUAAUACAUGCGAUUUAGUUAAUAUUCGUACAAUAUUAAAAAUGGUCAAUACAUGAAUAUCGAUUUGGUUUGAUAAGCUUUGGAAUUAUAAUUAAUUAAUUUAAAUUUAUUUGAAAUAUAGUGGUAGAAUCUAUAAAUACAAAAAGAAAGUACCUAAUUUAUUAUAAAUAUAAUGGCUAAAUAUGUAAAUAAAAAUACUAAAAAUACUGAUAUCUAUGUUUUCAAACAAUUCUCAUUUAUACUGAUAUUCAUGUUUCCAAACAGUACGAAAAUGUAUCGUUGUUUUAAUAAUAUAUAUUUAAAUUGAUUUUAAAUGUAGUGGCAGAAUCUGUAAAUAAAAAUAGAUACAGAAAAUAUCUAAUUUAUUAUAAAUGCAAUAGCUAAAUGUAUAAAUAAAAAAAUAUUAAAAAUAUUGAUAUCUUUAUUUUCAAACAAUUUUCAUUCAUAUUGGUAUUCAUGUUUUCACAUACCAAAAUAUAUUUUAGUUUUAAUAAUAUAGAUAAGUAAAAAACAAAACGUCAGUUCAACUGAUUCCACAACAAAACAAGUAUUUUUAUAGAACUGUUAACGAGGAACAUCAAUAUGAGGAAGAUAAACAAAUUCCUCAUAAUAUAUUGUGUGGCGUAAUUAGACUUUGGCAUAAUACACAGAAACAAGAGAACCAAACCGAGUCGCACAAAACAAGAGGCUAGGUUUGAUUUUGAUAAGCUUAAAAUUAACUAAACAGAUUUAUGCAGAGCCGGCCCUUGGACCAAGCCAAGCAAGCCACUGCUUCCGGCCGUUUUAUUAUAUAUAAAGAUAAUUUCGGCCACAUUUUUCAAAUAUUCUCCUUUAGUCUAGUGGCAAAAUCCGAAUGUAUUGGACUUGUUUAGUCCAACCAAGGUUCAAACCUCUUCAAAAGUGGCGAAUUUUUUUUAAUUUGUUUCUCGUCCUGGAUUAGUAAGGACCGGCUCUGAACUGAUGUAUAACAAAAUUUCGGUUGUUGGUAUUUCCAAGAACCAAACAAGUAUCCGAAAAACGUAACAAUAAUAUUUGUAUAAUUUUACAAUAUCUAGUACAUGUUAUGCUUUAACAAAAAACAAAUCUAGUACAUGUUAUAAUCUAUACUAUACUAAAAGUAGAAUAAGAUCAUCAUUUAGCCUAUCCACGUAGACACUAAAAAUCAACCACUCAGAAACAAUAUUUCUGCCACGUCACAUUUGAUCUUAUGCCAUUCUAAAUAAACACGUCCAGCCCAUUCAAAAUCAUUUACGAAACUGUGUAUUUGGCAAAUAACAUAAAUCCAUCAUUGGGCCCAUUUUUGUCUUAAACGUUUUUUUUUUGGACAACCUAAUACCUGUAAAUGCCGUAUAGCCAUGGUUUUCUUCAAUCUAUUGUUUCAACACCUUUGUCACUACAGCUUCCCAUCCUUCCGCAUGAACGUAUACGUUCAACAUGUAAACCUCAUAAAGCUCAAAUAUUUAAUUUGGUAACAUCAUGAGUCGGUUUCCAUUCCACCACCUCUACACCUUAUAUAUCCCUCAUCACUUUCUUCCUUCUCCCCUUUACCAUAGUCACAUAAAUCAAAACAUCAGACCUAUUAAUUGCAACCCAAACGCCGAAAUCAUAUAGCAAGGUCCGCAUAGCUUUCUUCUUCAGUGACGUCGUUUCUGGUCUGGGGCAGUCUGAACUUCGGUUUCGAUCAAUUCAUUUUGGUCUGGAUCUCCUUCUUAUUGAUUAACAGGUAUGAACUCAUCUUUCUACGACCAGAAUUGUGCUAUUUAGGAUUCAAUAUCACUGACUGAAACUAAUCAACGACAGGGUUGUGUCAUCCAAGUGUCCAUCUCCUAAAACCGUAUAGCCCAAGAUUUACAUCUCGGUUUGCCUUUUCUUAUUUUACGUUUUCUCAUAUCAAAUUGAACAGUUUGAUUCCUUCAUUUUAAGCUUUAAAACCCAUUUGCUGCAGCUUUUUUAUAUCAUUAUCAGAGCUAAGGAUGUCAGACGUACGAAUCAUGACUGUAAAGGUUUUCUUUACGUGAUCAUUACAACUUAGCACUAGAAAGGUUAAUGUGUUCUGUUUUCCUGUUUUAGUACAUAGAGUAGGUAGGAUAUUUCAUUAUGGUCUGAAUUCAUCAUCACUUUUCACUGUAUACGCUUAUCUGAAUUUUAGCCAUGGACAUUGUACUUUUUUCAGAGUUAUCCGUCUUUGAUUUGGGGAAUGAUGCUCAUGUAACAACUCACCUGAAAGAAUGUUCUCCAUCUGAGCCUCACAAAGGAUUUACAGUUAAAGGUAUAUGAAACCUUUAGUUCCAUAUGUACCUAGAUAAUGAUUAGUCUUUAAGACGGUAAUUUUUUAUUGUGUCUUCCUGUUAUGACAAUUACAUUCUCCAUCAGGUUUAGGUCAAACAAACUCUAAGAGUCCGCCUAAUUCUCCACAGCAAUCAGGCAGGUGAGUAGCAUUCACGAUUUUGUUUGUGUAAAGUUUGUGUUUGAUAAUGAAUUAGCUUCCAGAAAAGUCAAUGAUGGGCUUGCCUUGAAACAGUUCCAUGGGAGGGAUAAGGACAAGAUGGAAUCCCAUGCAACACUGUUUACUCACACUCCCGUAUUUAUAAACAUAAGGAUAUGUUAAGAGAUUUUUAUGUUCUCCACAAACUAAGAUCGACUCUACUCUUCUAAUAGGUACAUAAACAUGAGAAGCUUCUAUUAAGCAACUGCAUGCAUAUUCAGCGGAGAAAGCCAAUUGGAAGGUAAUCUAUUAAUCUGUUUUUUCAUUGGAAGGUGAGAAGCUUUAGGUUUGGAAGUUUAGCAUAGAAGGUAAUUGUAGCUUUCUUUGGGAGGGGAUGCUUGAUCGUUCUACUGCUAUUAUAUAGUCAUGAUCAUAUUAUUUUGCUAUUUGUACCUGAUAUUCAUUUAAGCGUAAUCGUAAGCGAGUAUACAAAUCAACAAAAGAAGUUCGGCUGGAGAACUUAUUAUUUUCCCGUGUUAUCUUACACUCGACAAAACCAACGAACUGGGGACAUAUAAACAUAUACUAACUUUAGAUUACCAAACGCAGUUAUCACAUCAAGGGAGAACAAAUCAGUAAAAUGCAUAAGAAAAAGCUCUAAAUCAGCGCCAAAAACUGGUGAACAAACAUAUAUAUGGUAUGUGGUUAUCUAAAUUCGGACCUUAAACUAUAUUUUCCAAGAUUUGCUAAACAAGGAAAACAAAAGACUUACAAUAUGAAAUAUUUUAACUCUAUGUUUUUCAAAUCAGACAGAAGAGGUAACCGUUUAGGUGAGAUAAUUGCUUGAAGCAUGGGAUUGUUCUUCACGUUAGAAUCAUGUAUCAUUCGUCAUGUUUUGUCUUUAUUUAGUGUGUUUAUUUAUGUGCUAAUAAAAGAACACUUGAAAUGAAAUAUAUAAAACUAGCUUAUUGUUGGUUAUAGAGACUGUCUGAAGAUGGGGGCAAUGUAGAGCUUAUAGGCUAUUCGUAUAUUGAGCACAAAUUUUGCAAUUUUACAACAAAACAGGAGAUAAAUAAAGGAUUUAGUCUAUGAGGUGAAAAGUGAGUUGUCGAAAAGAGUCUCAACGAUGGGACCACAUGGUUAAACUCAUUAAAAUCAAUUUAGGUAAGCCUUUCAAUACCACAUAAUUUGAAACCGUAUGAAACUUGACUUAUGAUUUUCUGUAAGUUUCAUCACUAAGCGGUGACUUUAAUCUUGGAUCCACAUCUGCAUGGAUGAGACGCCAUAAUCUUUCUGUGAUGGCCGUCUAAUUCAUUUUAGCUUUGUUUCACGGUAAAGUUGGUAUAGAAAAAAAGGCAGCCAAACAAUUUAUAGAACUGGCUGAAUUUAACAUUAUGAAAAUACAAUGAAAUUUUUUUAUACAAACUACUACAUAAAGUAAAAUAACGAAAAAAAUUUAAUUAAAAUGUGAAAAAAUAGAAAAGACAAAUAAUAGUAGGAAUAAAUAAAAUUGUAACAAUACUUUCUAAUACUAUUAUUUAAAUAUAACCAAUAAAUAAGUUUGAUUAACAAACUAUGUUAUGCAAUAGAUCUACUAAUUUUUGCAAUCAAUUAGUAAAAUAUAUUAUCAAAAUGUGUAACAUAUUUCAAAUAUUAUAGACUUUCAUGUAAAACUGUAAAAGUAAACAAACGUUACUGAUCUUACCAUAAAACAAUAUUAAUACAAUUUGUAAAUUAAUUUGAUUAAUUAUAAUACUAUAUAAAAUACUUAAGAUUAUAUUUAGUCAUAAUUCUUUAUACUCAUCUUCUGUAUCUAUUAUUUAACAAAAAUAUUAAAUAUUAGUUAUAUUUCAUCAAACAUUUAGUAUAUAGGUCGAAAAUGAAAUAUUAUAUUACCAUAUACACAUCUAAAAUAGCUAAACAAUACUCUUUUAUAUAUACACAUGUGUACACAAAAUUAUAUAACAAAUACAUGAUGAAUAUUUACUAAAUACCCAGCUAAAUAAAAAAAAAUUAAAAUAAAUAUAUAACUAAUGGUGUGAUAAAAAAAAUUCAAAAAAUUCACAUUUGGUAAUCUAAAGUUAGUAUAUGUUUAUAUGUCCCCAGUUCGUUGGAUUUACAAAUUCACAUCGGUCUUCCUAGCAACAACUCUUCUAGCCAAUGGGAACAUAAUAAACUAUGAGAGCUACACAUAGCCACAUGGAAAGGUACAGACCAAUGGUACCUUUCACAAACGUCGAUCACUUCUAAUGCUCUCGGAAUAAUUUCCAGCUUUCACUGUUUCAGAAAACCAUUGUGAUGCAGUGGCAGCUUCCACAAUUUAAAAUUGCUAUUUUCAAAAAACAAAAUUAAAUAAACUAACAAACAAAAAAUUAUUUAAAAAUCACUGGAUCUAUAGAUUAAUUCUAUGGAAAGAGGACCAAUUAAAAAAAGGAUAAUAAUCUAGAAACACUAAAAUCAUGUAAAGAGAAAAUUAAUAAAAGGUAUAUCACUACUAUUGUACAUAGUUUUGUUUAAGACCAUCUCCAAUGUAAAAUUUUAUUUUUUACUUUAAAAUAGAGUAAAAGUGGAUAUAGAGUAAAAACAUGGGCGGAUCUAGACACAUUUACAGUUGGGGGCACAAUGUUAAAAGUAUCAAAAAUAUAAUUAGAUUGGAGGCACUUUUCAUAUUUUCCUCUUAAUCUAUAAAAUAUUUAAUUAAAUACACUGAAAUUAUUUAAGAGAAAACAAAAAAGAGUAGGGGGCACAGGACCCCGUACCCGUACGUUUGCGUCUGUCCAUGAUUAAAAAUGCUGUAAUCCAACUUUAUUUCUAAUGGAAUGAUGAACCAAAAAAAAUACCCCAUAAACGGAGUAAACUCUAUUAUGGAAUAAAAUAUGAAACUGAGUUGGAACAUUACUUACUCCAUUUUUACUUUUACUUCAUUUUGGAAAAAAAUAGAAAGGGGUUGGUGAUGCUCUAAAGCAUCCCUAACUAUGCCACACGUGAAUUCUAAUUUCUACCAGUAAAAAGUUGCUAAUCAUCAAUUGUAACACCAAACAAAAUUAGAUCCAACACCGGUUUAGGUUUCAAUACGGCCUUCCUCAUUAGCUCAUCAUUUAGCAACGUAUGUGAAUAUUCCAUAGUAAUUAAUUUUAUAAAGAAUGUAGAAAAGUUAACGACUCAACUUACUAUGAAUAAUAUUUUACUUAAACCCCACUAUUGAUGUUAUUGGCAGCUUCAGAAAAACCAUAUGCAUCAAAAUAAACAACAUAUAAUCAGUAUGAAAAUGCAAAAAUAAUAUAGAAGAUCAAAUGUUAAAUUUAACAAGAGAUUAAUAUAAGAAAUCUAUCUUCAUUUGCUAAUGUUGUAGACAUUUUUCGAUUUAUUGAUUUUAAAUUAUGUAUAACUUUUAAGAAAUUUGUUACUAAAACAAUCAAAAUAAUUAUAAACAAAUAACCCGGGCGUAGCCCGGACAAAAUCCCUAGUUAUUUAUAUCUUACAAUACUAAAAGUUCUAAAAGUGUCCACAUCAUCUGUUUAAUUCCACCAAUCAUAAGGUUGUCUGAUGCCACGUCAUGCCGUCAUCGAUCGAUAACAGAUUAAUAGUGUGUAAGUUUUUUUUUGGAAUGAUAUGGGCUUUCUCAUAUGAUCUGUAAAUAUUUUUCUCUCUAUAACUUAAUGCCGCGAAUUUCUUUUCCUUUUCACUAUUAGUCCUAACUCCUAACUUAAGAGUAAAUAAAAAAACGUAUGAAUUAUGAUCUAUAAAUGAAAGAUAUAUCUUAAACAUACGUAUUUAAUUCGAUCGGUGACAUUCAUGCCGAAGAUGAACGGUUUGGAACUUAUAUAUAAAAGUGAAAAGAAUAACUCAAAGAACAAAAUUACAUUAGAAUCACCUUCCACUCUUCCAUUUCACUUUUUGCUUUCAGAAGCCAGAGAGCUGCUACGAUUUGCCUCAUGAUCUUUUUUUCCAAAACAAAAACUCUCGAACCUAUUUUAGUUGCUGGCAAAUUCAUGCCUCUUCCAUAUCACCGUAUCCUCCUCAUUUUCUGUCGGUGGAGGUCGUCUAUUGUGGUAUUGGAUCACCGGGACAGAGGAAAGUCCACAGACUACGACGAGUGAAUCUUGAUGAACUAGGUGCCAUGGAAUAAUCGCUGGAAGGCUAACUCAAUAUUGCUUUCACGGAGAGUAAAUCUCUCUUCGCCGCGCUUAAGAGCAGAAACAUGGCUGAUCGGCUUCUUCCACUAAGAGGAAGCAUGCGUCUAGGAGAUAAGAAGAUCAAAAGGAUGCUGAAGUUGACGCAUUAGAGCUACACCACCAUCGACGAUCUGGAGAAAGUAUCCAUGGCCGUCGCUUCUCAAAUUAAUGGCGGCGGAGGAGGCACGAAAUGAAGCUAUCGGCGGUGGUGGUCAGUUCUAGGUUACAAACAAAUCUACUGAUCUCUUUGUCUCAAUAUCUAACACAAUUUUGGUGUAUUUCUUCUACGAUUUAAUUUUCUUAGGUUGUGAUUAAUAAAAAUUGUCAUUUUAUUUUUUUACUUACUUUUGGUUUUAUUUUGAUAGAUUCAUCAUAGAACUAUAAACUAAUGUAUUAUCCAUAAAGCUAAUAAGAUUUUAUCAUAUGAGUCAUAUAGCUGACUCACACAAGAAUGGAAGUUGGAACCAUGAAAAAUGAUGGGUUUGAGGACUGUUUUGCUUUCACUCUAAUAUAUUUGUCUUUCAUCAAACAUACUUUUAUAUGUUCCAGGUGUUCUACCUUAUCGGCCUGCACAAAGUUGUUUUUACUUUACUUGCUCCAGGUUCACUCAUUAAAGUGUGUCCGUUUAAGUGGAUUUAGUCUUCCUUCACAUCUUGGGUAAUUUAUUGUACCAACAUAUAAUUGUUUAUGUUUCCUUUUUAGUUUUCAAUCCAUUUGUGUUGGUUGGUUGACUGAAAGCUGUUAACAAAUUUGAUAGGAAUGUGUUGAGAUAUAUUAUCUUAUGCAUGUUUCCUAUGCAUAAGCUAUUUUUCAUUAGGUAGCUACAAUGAUACAGUUCUUUGAUGUUGAGGAUGUACCCAAUUGAUGUUGCUUGCUAUUUCUUUAGCCAAUUUGAACACUGGUGUGAAAUAACUGUUGUUUUUGCUAUAAUACUGCGAAUAAGAAAAUAAACGGUUCAUCUUCUUAAAGAAAAACGUAUGAUGAUGAGCUUUGACAUGUAGCACGUGCAUAUAUAUCUUAUUAAAGUAGAAUUACUUUAAGUUUUUGUUUAGCAACAUACAUAGCAAUUAAAAAAUAUAUACGAAAAUGACUCAAUCUAAUUACUUGUUUUGUGCAACGGGUCCAAUCUAAUUAACUAAAAACAUAUUUUGUCUAAAUUAAUCAUUAAACAAAAUUCAAAAAAAAAAAAUUCAAAAAUAUACAUGUAUUCAAAAAUUGAUUUUUACUAAUGUUUAUUUUAAUUUUGUUUAAUGGACCACCGGAAUAGAAUUAGAUAUACAAUACUAUAAAUAACUAUAAUAUUUGGAUUACAAUAUCAAAUAAACAAUGAAACAAAAAAAUUAAUAUAUGAAUGUAUUAGUAUUCAUUUAUUUGUAUUACAAAUACAAUAAAUGUCAAACAAUAAUAUAUAACGGGCCAUAAUUUUUAAAAUCCAACAAUUACUAAUUAGUUAUGAAUUUGUAAUGUUUUACAAAUUAAAGCAAACACCCGUGCGGAUGCACGGGUCAAGAUCUAGUUACUAUUAUAAAUAGUGUGGAUUACGUUUUUGUAUAUUACGUAUUUUCGUUACUAUAUUUUCUUCAACAUGUGUUUUUAACUGAUAUUACUUUUGUCAUUUAGACGUAUAAAUUUGAAAUACAUCAUUAAUUCAGUUAAUCAGAGAGCCGAGUUUUAAAAUUAAUUUAGAUAGUAUUUUUUGACAAUUUUGAAACUCAUACAACUUAUAUAUAUUAUAUCUUUAAAAUUUAGAAAUAAAUUGUUCCAUUGGUUCUCAGAACUGGUUCUAAAUUUGCUAUUAGAAAUUACGUGAUAAUAACAUAAACCUAAUAUUUUUGAGAGAACAUUUAUUCUUUUAUUUUUGACAAUGAAAAUAUAUCUUCCUAAUAAGAAAGAUAUCAUAAAAAUGGAAAUUGUUGACAAAUUUUUAAUAAAAACAAGAUUAAUUUAAAAAUAGAGAUGGUACGUAUAUGUCAAACUAAGAAUAAGAGACAAAGUUC